UAAUCUUGUUUUAAGGUCAGCUGAUGAGC
rnacentral:piRNA from 1 species